AUACGGGGGGGGCAAGCGUUGUUCGGAAUUACUGGGCGUAAAGGGCUCGUAGGCGGCCAACUAAGUCAGACGUGAAAUCCCUCGGCUUAACCGGGGAACUGCGUCUGAUACUGGAUGGCUUGAGUGUGGGAGAGGGAUGCGGAAUUCCAGGUGUAGCGGUGAAAUGCGUAGAUAUCUGGAGGAACACCGGUGGCGAAGGCGGCAUCCUGGACCACGACUGACGCUGAGGAGCGAAAGCCAGGGGAGCAAACGGGA
rnacentral:rRNA from 1 species